CUGUUGGGUAGUUUCAGAAACCGCUUGUCUUUCCCAGUGAGGACUGACCUGGUGAGGACUGAACAGGACUAAAGCUGAACCCAGAGACCGCUACCUUUUGAUGUGCCGUCUUCACGCUUCACCUCCUGUGUCCGGAGUGCUGGCCUCAGGAGACCUUAUCUACGAGUCCCUCAGGAUCUGUGCGGUGCGAGACUUCAGCAGGACCCAUUGUGUCAGACACAUCACAAGAUUUCGCGGUGAGGCGUCCAGAGAGAAUUUCAGUUCCUCCUCGAGGGGCCCUUUGUGCUUCGGCAUUUGAACCUGUUCACCCUGAACUAACCGCUGGAGGUUGGCCUCCCAGGAUUUCUAGUUGGAUUGCAGGAAUCUCCCAGUCGCCGUUCUUGUUGCAAACAUCCUACCUACUGUUGGUCGUCUUGCCACCAAGCAAGCUCCUGAGGCCCAGUGAUGUUGUUCGGAUGGACCCCAUGCCACCUUCCACCCAGGCUUGCAACUUUCUGAUGAGCACAUUGGGUUAUGGACAGCAGGUUCCUAGGACGAUAAAAGGAGAGGGUUUACCUAGAGAGGAAACCAGACACUGAAAAAACAACAGUAUUUCCAAUAACAAACCUUAAGAGAAGCUGGCACUGGGUCUUCUGGAACGCUUUUGAUGCAUUUGAAUUGCCAGCUGUCUGAGGACUUUGGAUGAACCUCAUUCAAAACCUCAGCCUUCUGUGUCUUGAGGCCAUCAGAUGCACAAGAAUGAGUGGCAAACACGUUUGAGGCCAUGCAGGCACCACAGGAUGGGCACCUGGUCUGUAAAUUGUCCCUCCGGGCUGUGAUUUCUUUUGUGAGCACAGGGCCUCUGGGCAAAUUAUUGCGUAUCUGCUGACUUCAGAACAGGGACUGUAUUGCAUGAAUUGUGGGACAGGGUAGAAAUGGGGAGAGGUGAGUGUCCCCUCUGUUGCUACCUGGUUGCAAGGUGGGAAAGGUUACAAAAAUACCCUUUGGGGCACGGAGAGAACUACUGAUCUGGGGGAUUAAUGUAUCUUCUUGCCGGUGCAUCAGUGCUUUCCACCUGAAAUGACUCUAAAAUAACAAUUUGUUUUAUUAAUACAGGGUGAGAACAGAAAGGAUGCGGUGGUGAACCUGGAGUGAGCGAGCGUCAGGGCUUCCGCCCUGCAGUCUGAAAUGC